rnacentral:lncRNA from 1 species
AAUGUUCAUGUUUUGACAAAUUUAGCGAAUUCAUUCACUACGAAUUCGUUUCUCAACCAAAUUGGUUCGUUUAACUUCUGUUGUUUUUGCAUUUGACUAUUUUAACAGUGUGAUGCCCCCAAAAUAGGUAUACAUCACCCAUCUUGGGUCGCAAAAUACAUGGUACAUAAUACAACUACACACUUCUUUUAUACAACUGUCGUGUAAAAUACGACAAAACAUAGUUGAGAGUUUUAACACGAAUAUUGUCUUCUAGACAAUAUCCACACUCAAUGGAGUCCUCAUUAUAAUUAUUAUCACACUAUUUCAUAUAAUAGUGAGGACUACUAUAGUCACUUAUCUGGACCUUCACUCCAUUUCCCGACUCGUCCCGGCUUUACUCUCAUUUCCUGAAGAGAACAAUGAAAGAAAAGGGUGAGCUCAACUAGCUAGUAAGAAAUAUUAUAACUAAGAUAAUGUAGAAUAAAUUAUCAUUAGCCUUCAAAAGUAUAACAACUAAUAGAAUACGAUAGACAACAAGUUUUAGAUCAACAACUGCAGCGGAAUAAGCAAUCCAUUAGAAGAGUCAAGUAGAUUAUGCUAUCUACUAUCUUCGAUGAUUUAAAAGUUUAUCAUCAAUUUUAUCGUUGAGACUCAACUUAAUAAAUAAUCCACAUCACUGAAUUAUCCAUGCACUACGGGCCAAGGAUAUUCAUUAGUAUCACGACCACGAAUUAUCCAUGCACUACGGGCCAAGGAUAUUCGUGUUUUCACCAAUGGUCAUGAUCAUGCCAAACAAUAAUUCAUCUUUAGACCCUUGGCCGAAGAGAAUGCAUGGUUAUGAUCAUACCAACAUCUGUCCAUCAAUGCACUACAGGUAAAUGAGGACUUUUAUCACAUCAUUUGUAACAUUACAGUCAUGAUUAUACCGAAUAAUCCUUGGUCAUAAUCAUACCAAUCAAUAGUCCAUCUAUGCACGUAAGCCACAUAUGACUUUCAUCACAAUAUAAGCAUGAGGAUGAGAACAAUGAUAUAAGAAUUCAAUUAAAUGAAAGCAAGGAUAAAUUUUAAAGAUUUAUAAUUUAAUUUAUCCAAAAUUCAAUAAUAUCCAAAUUGUUAACAUGAUAAUUCUUUGUGGAGUAAAAUUCAAGAAUAAUAUUGUAUCAAAAAUGAUUUGGACCGAAAAGAAAUUAAUUUUUGUCAUGAAUAGUACCCCAGGUGAAUAGUACCUGAGUGAAUAGUACUCCAUGAAUAGUACUUUGAAUAGUACCCUGUGAAUAGUACUUUGUGAAUAGUACCCCGUGAAUAGUACUUUGUGAAUAGUACUUCGUGAAUAGUAUUUUUUGAAUAGUACUUUGUGAAUAGUAUCGUAUUUAUGAAUAGUACUGUAUUUAUGAAUAGUGCCCAUGAAUAGUACUUUGUAAAUAGUACUGUACGUAUGAAUAGUGCUGUAUAAAUGAAUAGUAACCAUGAAUAGUACUCUGAUAUUAAAAGCUUAAAAUUUAACAAGAAUGUUCAGAAAAAUAUCCUUGAGAAACGAUAUUAGAUGAAGCGCAAAUUUCAAGGAUAUUCUACUAAUUUUACGGAGUAUAGAAGUAAUAAUUUAACAAAAUGAGUGUAGAAUUCAGAAUCUGAAACAAAAUAAUAUUACUUAUAUACUACAGAGUAUGGAAGAAAAUAUUAUUCCUUAUGGAUAUUGAACAAAAAUAAUAUCCCUUACGAAUACGAAAUAAAUAAUACCCCUUACCUCAGAAGAAGACUGGAUACUAUAAUAGUGAAGUAGCAGACUUCUCUUCUUCUUUCUCUCUAUAGCUUCUCUCUCUAUAAUUGCUCUUGUGAAUCUUAGUGAAUUGGUGAGAAUGAAAGAAGAAUGAGCUUCUAUUUAUAGGAAAAUAUAAUUUCGAUAAUUGCACGUUUUGGGGCUUGAAAUAUUACGGUAUAAUACCUUCAUCUUUUUCUUUAUUUUUAAUUUAGUCCUUCAAGUAUUAUCAAACUUUCACCACCUGUAACCCCCCAAAAAAUCGAACCUUUGUAAAUACUUUUAAUAAUGAAUAAAAUAAUAUUAUUUAUUAUUAUUACGUGCUGAUAAGAUGAAUGUCGUUCUAUAACCUAGAAACGUCGGAACGUCGUAGUAUUUUAACUGCGUGGGAGAAUUAAAGUGUUUGAAUUUCUAAAAUGAAAAUAAAAGUUUUCUGAGAAAUUUUUCGAAAAACGCUAUUCAUCGAUUUCUGCUUGGGAAUUAUUUUUGAACUUCCGAGAAAUACGUAACGUUAUAAUAUCAAGGUGAGAUCUAUUAUGUAAUAAUAAUCUAAGUAUGGAAAACGUAAUAUUUUACAUGUGGACUUAAUUUGGGAAUGUUAGGUUUAUUAAGCGUUAAAGGAAGAGAGUUGUGAUCGUAUAAUGUGUAUUCAUUAUAUGAAAGUAUUGAAUGUAUGUAUAAUACGACGUAUUGUACUAUUAUGUAUGAAGAAUGAAAUAACGUAUAUUACGAACUAGUAUACGAGUUAGCAUACGAAGAUUAUACGUGGGGUAUAAUUGUUAAGUUGUUAAGAUUAAGAUAAUUGACUUGUAGGAUUAUUAGCCUAAUAAGUAUAAGUCCAAUAUAUGUGACAAUCAAGCCCAAGUGUUUGAUAAGUCAUGAGUCCAAAUUAUGUAGCACAAGCCCAUUAAGAAAGUAGUUAGAUUAAUUAACCAAGCCCAAUUAGAAGCCUUGAUCCAUGGGUCAAACCAAGUAGAAAAUGGGUAAGCUUGAUGGGCAAGGUUUAUGUGUGAUGAUCAAGGGAUGUGGUGAUCAAGAGAAGUGGCUAGCAAGUGUUGUGCUAGUCAAGAAAGGAAUAGUAAGGUGGUGGAGGAUGAGGAGGUGGAAAUGAGGAGGUGGAAAUGAGGAGGUGGGAUGGUUUAAAGACCAUUAUACCCUAGACUUAGAUGGCCUAUAAAUAUAAGAGCCUCAUUUCAUUUGUUGGUUGUUUGAAUUUCAUCCAACUCCUCUCAAAUAUAAACUACUUAUUUGGUAGAGCAAAUAAGCACUUUUAAGUCAAAGUUAAAUUUCCAAGAAGAAGAAGUUAGACUUCAAAGGUAAUGUUCUUGUGUCCAAUGUUCUUUCAUCUCUAUUAUAAUAGGAUGAUAAGGGAAGUGUUAUUAAUGAACAUGUAUUUUAAGAAUAUGUAAUAAGUUAAUAAGGAAUGAACUUAAGCCGAAUAAGUUGAAUAAGCAACUUGAACAUUAAUAAGUUGCUAGAACCAUGAAGAACUUAUCAUAUGUUGUCAUAUGAUGAUUAGUAUGUUGAAUAUAGCAUGAGAACAUUGAUUAGUAGACUUAAGUUCAUAAUAAGUCAUGAGCAUGAAGAUUUAUAGUUCAUAAGUUGAUUAGGUCAUUGACUUAUGAGAAUGAGUCAAAAACCUACUUUGAUUAUAAGUUGGUGUAAUAAGAAACUUUAAUGAUCAUGUGUUGGUUAAAAUCUACUUAGAACGCUUAGUAAUGAAGCUUUGCCGGAAUUCACUCGAUUGGAGGAUUAUCGUCGAAUUCGUGAAAUUCUCGGAAUGGAAGUCAUAUUUUUUGUUUGAAGUUGGAAAUGUUGGUUUUGGAUGGAGACAAGUCAUAUUUGGCAUUAUAGAGUUGCGGACUCGAAAAUAACAGGAUUCCGACUUAUAACGAAGAAACGAGCGUUGAACGUUCACGAACGUUUAUCAUUUUCGUUGAAAAUGAACUCAUAGGUGAAAUUUUAGCAAACGAAGUCAAAUAGAUAAAAUUCUUGCAUGAACACAUAGAGUAUGAAAUUUGUGAACCGUAGGCUUUUGAACGGACCAAUUCGGACUUAUAACGAAGAAGUUAUGCGUCCGGGAAGUUCGUAAAAAUAUCAAAUCUGCACAAACUGUCUGAGGCACAGAGUCCGCGUCGCGGCGUGACUAACAGCUUUAAAGCCCACGUCAUAGCGCGAGGCCGAAACCCUGCAUACUGCUAACUUGCGCUGCAGCAUGAGAUGCAGAGUAAUUGGUGGCGCCGCGGCGCCAGUCCAAGAGGUUUGCUAGAGAAGAAUGUUUUCAAAUGUAGAAUUAGAGAGAACUUGAUAGUAAUGAAUUAAGAUAUAAUCAUAACAUGGUUAAGACAUUGUAAAGUACUUGUAAGACACUAAUGCAUGUUGAUUAAGAGUUAAUAAUCAAUCGAAGAUGAUCGAAAUAUAAAUGUCGUAAUGAAAGCCGAAAACCCUAAUACUAGAUCUAAGUCAGGAUUUACAUUGAAAUGAAGGGUAAGAUAUAAUUGUAUACAUACUUGAUUAUAUAUGACCUAAUGUGGUACGUUAUAUGAUUAUGUAUUGUAGAAUCAUAGAGACUUAAAGUGUACGUGUGUUAAUCAGUAAGCAGACGCUGAAGGCAAGUAUUCUAACCCUUGUUCCAGUUCAGUCUGGACAAGCUGUGUAAUUCAUGUAUUCUUUUGCAUGAAGUUUUGAAAUGAUGAAGUCUUAAGCCAAUUCUUUCAGCUAGACUUAUAUUAUGAUUCUGUCAAGCAUGAUUUGUAUUUACCGAGUUAUAUUGGUAUGGUUUUCAAUCGAAGACCAAGUAUGCUAAAAUGUUUUUGUCGUUUAACGACAGGCACGUGAGGUUUCCACAACUUAAACGUAUACACGUUUAAUGAAUGUAGUGUUGAUCAACAUAGAGUACUAUGGGCUGAUCACCCAGAAGUGCUCGUAAGCUAUGCCGGACUUACGGACUUAGUGCCGGGUUGUCCUUUUCAAAAGAAAUUAUGAAAUGCUCUUAACUUUGAGCCUUAGUUGAUAUUCUACUGAAUAUUGUUGUUGGAAAAUAUUUUGAAGGAAAAGAAGUGCUAUUUUGAAUUAUCGAUAGUACUUCGUAACUAUUGUUCAGUUAUUGAAGCUAUAUGAGUUCUAUGUUUCAAGCAUGUUGUUUAUUAGAAUUGUAGUACUUGCUGAGCUAGUCAUUCUCACUCUUGCUUGAACCAUAUGAACACAGCAAAGAUCGAGCGGACCGAAGGCUCAAGCAAGGACAAGGGCAAGGCGAAGACGAACCCUUAGAUUACUUAUGUAAUAAAAUAGUUGAAAGUUUGUAAUAUAUUGAAUAUUAUGACAAGAACAAACGAAUGGGUUACAAAGAACCUGGGAAAUGUAAUAUUAUUUUUGAUAUAUAGAAGUUAUAUUAGUCCUUUUGAGACUAUUUAAUUGAAUAAAUGAAUGAAUGGUAGUACCAUGUAGCACCAUCUGUCGGGUUGGAAGAGACCCGGAUUUGGGGCCGUCAUAGGUUGGUAUCAAAGCAUUAUGUUAUAAAACUUAAGGGGGGAAAUUAAAAACCUUAAGUCAUAACCUUAAGAGAAGUCAAAGAAGUACAAGAAAAAAAUAACCUUAUAAAAAUGCAUUAUGAUUAUGUUAUGUGUUUUUAUUAUUCUACUGACUUGUACUAAUCAACUUAAUUGUUUUGUAUAGAUGUCAGGAGUAAACGGGAUGUUUGUAGAUGGUCAAGCCAUUAGUGAAGAAUCAGUGAACCAAAUAGAGGUUUUACCGAACCCUAUAGCAGCAGAGCCUGAUGUAGUGAUUAUUGAGUCUGGAGACUCGGAGGAAGCUGACUACAUGUCAGUAUUUGAUGGGAUGAUAGAGGAGGAGGUAGAGAUAGUUUCCUUUAAUCCAGUAGCUAUAGCAGUCGAAAUAGCUCCUGGGGGGUCGAUGAUGUCUCUUUUCAUGUCAGUGUUAGAUAGAAAUAUCCAUUACUGUCAGGAGGUUAAGGAGUUGAAGGCAGAGCUCCAAAUUGUUAGAGAGGACAAGACUGAUGUCGAGUCCAUGUGGGAGCAAGAACACGACGAGAGGAUUUUGGCUAAGGACAAAGUCCAUGAUUUAAAGCAUGAGGUCUUUGAGCUCAAGGAGGAGAUAAAGACCAAGGUGCAGAAGAUAGGGAGGAUGUCCUAUAUCUAUAAGAGUUCUUAUACAGAUUUCCAGCAGCAGGUAGCUGGAUAUCCUGUGGAGGUGGGGCAAACACGGCAUACUAUUAGCCGUGAUAUCAUUGCCAGUCUUGUUAAGGCAGAUUUUGAGAAUGUCUUGAGGUAGAUGUAGACUAGUAGUAGUUAGAGUAGUAUGUAAAUAUUUUGUAAGUAGUAGUGACGUAAAGCCCUUUUUGUAUAGUAAAGGGUAGUCUAUUGUAAAUCCCAAUUUUUAGAAAGCGAUAGCAGGAAAGUAAUGUAAGCAGCUUAGGCUGUGUAUGUAACCGAUGUAGUAUUAUACUACGAAGAAUGAAUAUAAGUCCUUUUUUAUGGAAAGCAAUGUGUUAUGGAUGUUGACGUUAUUGUUUAAUACUAACGAUAACUAAUAAAGAAAGGAAUAAUAACGCAAUGUGUUUAUUGUAUAAGCAAAAUGCCGCCGAGAAGAGUGCAACGUAAUCAAGGUGCGAACGUAAAUCAACCGGAGGGAGGUCCAAUUAAUCCGAUGCAGGAGUUUGUUAAUUUAAUAACAGCCGCAUUUAAUCUAAUAUCCCCGUGAAUCCGGGAGUAGCACGAGCUACGACCUUUAAGGAUUUCAAAAGCGUGGGUCCUCCAGAGUUCAAAGGAACUAUGGACCCUAUCGAAGCCCAAACGUGGGUUAAGGAGAUAGAGAAGGCAUUUGUAAUAGAAAAUGUCGACGAGGCCCAGAAGGUUGCCUUUGCGACCUAUAUGAUGAAGGGAGAGGCCAACUUUUGGUGGGAAGCCAAUCAGGCUAGGGUUGGGAUAGCAAAUCUGACGUGGGAUAGGUUCAAGGAGAUAUUCUUCGAGAACUACUUUUCCACGAGCAUGCAGGGAAUGAUGGAGAUGCGGUUUCUGGAGUUGAAACAAGGGGACAUGACGGUUCCCCAAUACGCCACCAAGUUUAAUGAACUGGAAAGGUUCACUCCACACUAAGUGGAUACCGAGGUGAGGAAGGCGCGACGGUUCGAGCAGGGCUUGAAACCCUGGCUCUAUAACCGUAUAUCAGUGUUCCAAAGUACUUCUUUUGGAACCGUUUUAGAGAAUGUGAUAAUCGCUGAAGGUGGUAGUGAGGCUCUGAGUCAAUACCAUAAGGACAAGAAGAGCAUGGGUAAAGUAGACGGGAGAGUCAAGAUUGAGGGAGCCAGUGGUAGUGGUGAGGGUCAGAAGAGAAAGGUAUUUAGCUCUAGGAAUACCGGAGUGAAGCAAGGAGACCUAAAGAGGAGAAUGGAGGCCUGCAAGACCUAUGGGAAGACUCACUUAGGAGUCUGUCUUAAGGGGAAGGCCGUCUGCUACAAUUGCAGACAAGAGGGGCACAUUGCGCCUAAUUGUCCGAGUCCGAAGAAAAACCACGGAUGCUUUGUGUGUGGAUCAACUGACCACAUGGCAAAGAACUGCCCGAAGAAGGGGACGGAUGGGAACCGGGGCACUAAUAGCGAUAAGUUAGCUAAUGGGGGUCCAGCACAGCUGGGUAAGCUGAUGGGUCGUACCUUUAACAUGACAAUCCAAGAUGCGGUUGCAUCAGGGGACGUCAUCACAUGUAUUAUUCCGAUCAACGAUAUCAAUGUUUAUGUGCUGUUUGAUUUGGGUGCUACUUGUUCGUUUAUAGCCUGCGAUUUUGCUAGACGAUUAGGAUUACUUCCUGAAAAGUUGCCUAUACCUUUAAAUAUUAAGGUAGAAAAUGAAGAAAUAAUUCCUGUUGAAGAUGUUCAUAAGAGUUGUUGUGUAGAUAUACGGGGUUGCAGAUUAUCGGUAGAUCUAAUACCGAUAAAGUUAGGAGAAUUCGAUGUAAUUCUCGGAAUGGAUUGGUUAGUAAACCAUGGGGAAAUUAUAGAUUGUAAAAAGAAUUGUGUGAACAUUAAGACAUUAGAACAACCUCGGGUAAUAUUUUACGGGAAUAGAUCGCCGGGACGUUCGUGUUGUCUAUCCAUGACACAAACUAGGAAAUUAUUGAGGAAGGGAUGUCUAGGGUACCUGUGCUAUGUUGUUGAUACCCAGAGAGUGGUAGCAACCAUGGAACAUAUACCUAUAGUGAGAGAAUUCGCCGAUGUAUUUCCAAGUGAAUUGCCUGGUCUUCCGCCAGAUAGGGAGACAGAGUUCGUGAUAGAUAUUGUGCCAGGAGCGGCACCAGUUUCCAGAGCACCAUAUCGUAUGGCACCAGUGGAGAUGAAAGAGUUGGUGGUGCAAUUGUAAGAACUGUUGGACAGGAAGUACAUUCAACCGAGUGUCUCACCGUGGGGAGCACCGGUAUUGUUUGUCAAGAAGAAGGACGGAUCGUUAAGACUUUGUCUCGACUACAGAGAGUUGAACAAGUUAACGAUAAAGAAUAAAUAUCCAUUGCCUAGGAUCGAUGAUCUCUUUGAUCAGUUGAAAGGGGCUAAGUAUUUUUCUAAAAUAGAUUUAAGGACGGGGUAUCAUCAGUUGAAGGUUAGGAAGGAGGAUGUGCCAAAGACAGCAUUCAGGACUCGUUACGGUUAUUACGAGUUUCUGGUGAUGUCAUUUGGAUUAACAAAUGCACCAGCUGCAUUCAUGGAUAUGAUGAACAGAGUGUUCAAACAAUAUUUGGACAAGUUCGUCGUGGUGUUUAUAGAUGAUAUUCUAGUCUAUUCUAAGACGCCAGAAGAUCAUGCUGAACACCUAAGAUUAGUGUUGGAGACAUUAAGGAAGGAGAAGUUGUACGCAAAAUUCACGAAGUGUGAAUUUUGGUUAGAGAAGGUGCAGUUUUUAGGUCAUGUCAUUGACCAUGAGGGGAUUUCAGUGGAUCCAGCGAAGGUAGAAGCCGUGAUGAAUUGGGAACAACCGAAAAUGCCGACCGAGGUGCGGAGUUUCCUAGGGUUAGCGGGUUACUAUCGAAGAUUCAUCCAGGAUUUUUUGAAGAUAGCUACUCCGUUGACUAACUUGACAAAGAAGACGGUGAAAUAUGCGUGGACUGACAAGUGUGAGGAUAGUUUUCAAGAACUGAAGAAGAGGUUGAGUGAAGCGCCUGUUUUGUCAUUACCUGAUGACACAUGAAAUUUUGUAGUUUAUAGCGAUGCUUCGCAUAGAGGACUUGGUUGCGUGCUCAUGCAGCAUGGCAAGGUCAUUGCGUAUGCAUCUAGGCAGUUGAAGGAUUAUGAGAAAGUUUAUCCUACUCAUGAUCUGGAACUGGCCGCAGUAGUUUUUGCUCAAAAGAUAUGGAGACAUUAUCUUUAUGGAGAAAAAUGUGAGAUAUACACGGACCACAAAAGUCUAAAAUAUAUCUUCACACAGAAGGAGUUGAAUAUGAGGCAGAGGAGAUGGCUGGAGUUGAUAAAGGAUUACGACUGUGAAAUCCUGUAUCACCCGGGAAAAGCCAAUGUAGUUGCCGAUGCCUUAAGUAGGAAGGGUCGGGAAAAGUUGUCUUUGUUAACGGCUCAAACUGAGUUAAUAACAGAGAUGGCUAGGAUGGAGUUGGAGGUGAAGCUGCCAAGUGAAGGAGGACAAAUGUUGUUUGCGACAGAGAUGCAAUCUACCAUCGUAGAGAGAGUUAAGGAGGUACAACUCAAAAUGUAUGAAUGUAACCGGAUGAGGGAGCGGCUGAGCAAUGAAAAAGAUACUAAGUACAGUCUUGAUAACGAGGGGUUAUUGAGAUUUGAAGGAAGAAUUUGGGUUCUGAAUGAGACGGAAUUAAAGGAGCAGGUGUUGCAAGAGGCUCAUAGUUCAAGGUUUUCGAUUCAUCCUGGUAGCACUAAGAUGUAUCAAGAUCUUCGACAUAGUUUCUGGUGGCCGAACAUGAAGAGAGAGAUAGCUGAGUACGUAAGUAGGUGCUUGACUUGUCAGAGAGUUAAGGCCGAACAUCAACGACCUAGUGGCUUGUUACAGUCAUUAGAAAUUCCGGAGUGGAAAUGGGAGAAUAUCACGAUGGAUUUUGUGGUGGGACUUCUGACUACUCAGAAGGGGUAUGAUGCGAUUUGGGUAAUAGUAGACCGAUUGAUGAAGUCGGCUCACUUUUUUCCAAUUAGGGUCAAGUAUAACUUAGAUCAGUUAGCUAGACUCUAUAUUAAGGAAAUAAUUUCUAGACAUGGAGCACCAGUAUCGAUUGCGUCAGAUCGUGACCCACGAUUCACAUCGAACUUUUGGAGAAGUCUACAAGAGCAGUUAGAAAGCAGUUAAAGCUGAGUAUGGCAUAUCAUCCACAGACGGAUGGAUAGAGCGAGAAGAUAAUUCAGAUGUUAGAAGAUAUGCUAAGAUCUUGCGUCAUUGAUUUCAAGGGUAGUUGGGAUGAUCAUCUACCAUUAGUGGAGUUUGCGUAUAACAAUAGUUAUCACGCAAGCAUAGGUAUGCCGCCUUACGAAGCUUUGUAUGGGAGGAAAUGUAGAACGCCACUGUAUUGGGAUGAGGUAGGUGAGCACCGAAUGUUGGGACCAAAAUUGGUGCAAUAGACAACGGAUAUUGUCAAGAAGAUACAAAUGCGUCUUCUAGCAGCUCAAGACAGAUAGAAGAAGUUUACGGAUCCGCAUAGAGAGAAUCGGGAGUUUGAAGUAGGCUCUUAUGUCUUUCUGAAAGUAUCUCCCUGGAAAGGAAAGAUACGUUUUGGAAAGAAGGGAAAGUUAAGUCCGAGGUUCAUAGGACCUUUUGAGGUAUUGAAACGGGUGGGUGAGGUAGCUUAUAUGAUAGCAUUACCUCCAGACCUAGAAUGAAUACAUAAUGUAUUUCACGUAUCCGUGUUACGUCCUUAUAAGCACGUGAUAGAAUAUGAGCCUAUUCAUAUCGAGAAGGACUUAACGUAUGAGGAAACGCCGAUUCAAAUUGUCGAUAGAAAAGAACAAGUUCUGCGGAAUAAAGUCAUACCUGUCGUGAAGGUGAUAUGGAAGAACCACGAUGCAAAAGAAGCAACGUGGGAGUUAGAAGAAAUGAUGAAAAAGAAUUACCCUCAAUUAUUUGUUUAAUUUUUUUUAUAUAGCGAGAUUCUGGGGACAAAAUCCUUAUAAGGGGGAGAGAGUGUAAAGCCCCGGAAAAUCGAACCUAUGUAAAUACUUUUAAUAAUGAAUAAAAUAAUAAUAUUUAUUAUUAUUAUGUGUUUAUAAGAUGAAUAUCGUUCUAUAACCUAGAAACGUUGGAACGUCAUAGUAUUUUAACUACGUGGGAGAAUUAAAGUGUUUGAAUUUCUAAAACGAAAAUAAAAGUUUUCCGAGAAAUUUUCUGAAAAACACUAUUCAUCGAUUUCUGCUCGGGAAUUAUUUUUGAACUUCCAAGAAAUAAGUAACGUUAUAAUAUUAAGGUGAGAUCGAUUAUGUAAUAAUAAUCUAAGUAUGGAAAACGUAAUAUUUCGCAUGUGGACUUAAUUUGGGAAUGUUAGGUUUAUCAAGCGUUAAAAGAAGAGAGUUGUGAUCGUAUAAUGUGUAUUCAUUAUAUGAAAGUAUUGAUUAUAUGUAUAAUACGACGUAUUGUACUAUUAUGUAUGAAGAAUGAAAUAACAUAUAUUACGAACUAGUAUACGAGUUAGCAUACGAAGAUUAUACGUGGGGUAUAAUUGUUAAGUUGUUAAGAUUAAAAUAAUGGACUUGUAGGAUUAUUAGCCUAAUAAGUAUAAGUCCAAUAUAUGUGACAAUCAAGCCCAAGUGUUUGAUAAGUCAUGAGUCCAAAUUAUGUAGCACAAGCCCAUUAAGAAAGUAGUUAGAUUAAUUAACCAAGCCCAAUGAGAAGCCUUGAUCCAUGGGUCAAACCAAGUAGGAAAUGGGUAAGCUUGAUGGGCAAGGUUUAUGUGUGAUGAUCAAGUGGUGUGGUGAUCAAGAGAAGUGGCUAUCAAGUGUUGUGCUAGUCAAGAAAGGAAUAGUAAGGUGGUGAAGGAUGAGGAGGUGGAAGAGGAGGUGGAAAUGAGGAGGUGGGAUGGUUUAAAGACCAUUAUACCCUAGACUUAGAUGGACUAUAAAUAGAAGAGCCUCAUUUCAUUUGUUGGUUGUUUGAAUUUCAUCCAACUAUUCUCAAAUAUAAACUACUUAUUUGGUAGAGCAAAUAAGCACUUUUAAGUCAAAGUUAGAUUUCCAAGAAGAAGAAGUUAGACUUCAAAGGUAAUGAUCUUGUGUCUAAUGUUCUUUCAUCACUAUUAUAAUAGGAUGAUAAGGGAAGUGUUAUUAAUGAACAUGUAUUUUAAAAACAUGUAAUAAGUUAAUAAGGAAUGAACUUAAGCCGAAUAAGUUGAAUAAGCAACUUGAACAUUAAUAAGUUGCUAGAACCAUGAAGAACUUAUCAUAUGUUGUCAUAUGAUGAUUAGUAUGUUGAAUAUAGCAUGAGAACAUUGAUUAGUGGACUUAAGUUCAUAAUAAGUCAUGAGCAUGAAGAUUUAAGGUUCAUAAGUUGAUUAGGUCAUUGACUUAUGAGAAUGAGUCAAAAACCUACUUUGAUUAUAAGUUGGUGUAAUAAGAAACUUGUAAUGAUCAUGUGUUGGUUAAAAUCUACUUAGAACACUUAGUAAUGAAGCUUUGCCGGAAUUCACACGAUUGGACGAUUAUCGUCGAAUUCGUGAAAUUCUCGGAAUGGAAGUCAUAUUUUUUGUUUGAAGUUGGAAACGUUGGUUUUCAAUGGAGACAAGUCAUAUAUGGCAUUAUAGAGUUGCGGACUCGAAAAUAACCGAAUUCUGACUUAGAACGAAGAAACGAGCGUUGAACGUUCACGAACGUUUAUCGUUUUCAUUGAAAAUGAACUCAUAGGUGAAAUUUUAGCAAACGAAGUCAAAUAUAUAAAAUUCUUGCAUGAACACGUAGAGUAUGAAAUUUGUGAACCGUAGGCUUUUGAACGGACCAAUUCGGACUUAUAACGAAGAAGUUAUGCGUCCGGGAAGUUCGUAAAAAUAUCAAAUCUGCACAAACUGUCUGAGGCACAGAGUCCGCGCCGCGGCGUUACUCACAGCCUUAAAGCCCGCUCCGCAGCGCUCAUACUGCUAACUUGUUCCGCAGCAUGAGAUGCAGAGUAAUUGGUGGCGUCGCGGCGCCAGUCCAAGAGGUUUGCUAGAGAAGAAUGUUUUCAAGUGUAGAAUGAGAGAGAACUUGAUAGUAAUGAAUUAAGAUAUAAUCAUAACAUGGUUAAGACAUUGUAAGGUACUUGUAAGACACUAAUGCAUGUUAAUUAAGAGUUAAUAAUCAAUCGAAGAUGAACGAAAUAUAAAUGUCAUAAUGAAAGCCGGAAACCCUAAUACUAGAUCUAAGUCAGGAUUUACAUUGAGAUGAAGGGUAAGAUAUAAUAGUAUACAUACUUGAUUAUAUAUGACCUAAUGUGGUACGUUAUAUGAUUAUGUAUUGUAGAAUCAUAGAGACUUAAAGUGUACGUGUGUUAAUCAGUAAGCAGACGCUGAAGGCAAGUAUUCUAACCCUUAUUCCAGUUCAGUCUGGACAAGAUGUGUAAUUCAUGUAUUCUUUUGCAUGAAGUUUUGAAAUGAUGAAGUCUUAAGCCAAUUCUUUCGGCUAGACUUAUAUUAUGAUUCUGUCAAGCAUGAUUUGUAUUUACCGAGUUAUAUUGGUAUGGUUUUCAAUCGAAGACCAAGUAUGCUAAAAUGUUUUUGUCGUUUAACGACAGGCAUGUGAGGUUGCCACAACUUAAACGUAUACACGUUUAAUAAAUGUAGUGUUGAUCAAUAUAGAGUACUAUGGGCUGAUCACCCAGAAGUGCUCGUAAGCUAUGCCGGACUUACGGACUUAGUGUCGGGUUGUCCUUUUCAAAAGAAAUUAUGAACUGCUCAUAGUUCUGAGCCUUAGUUGAUAUUCUACUGAAUAUUGUUGUUGGAAAAUGUUUUGAAUGAAAAGAAGUGCUAUUUUGAAUUAUCGAUAGUACUUCGUAACUAUUGUUCAGUUACUGAAGAUAUAUGAGUUCUAUGUUUCAAGCAUGUUGUUUAUUAGAAUUGUAGUACUUGCUGAGCUAGUCAUGCUCACUCUUUCUUGAACCAUAUGAACACAGCUAAGAUCGAGCGGACCGAAGGCUCAAGCAAGGACAAGGGCAAGGCGAAGACGAACCCUUAGAUUACUUAUGUAAUAGAAUAGUUGAAAGUUUAUAAUAUAUUGAAUAUUAUGACAAGAACAAACGAAUGGAUUACAAAGAACCUGGGAAAUGUAAUAUUAUUUUAGAUAUAUAGAAGUUAUAUUAGUCCUUUUGAGACUAUUUAAUUGAAUGAAUGAAUGAAUGGUAAUACCAUGUAACACCAUCUGUCGGGUUGGAAGAGACCCGGAUUUGGGGGCGUCACACCACCUCCCCUAAUAGUACAUCAUGUGAAUCAAUAUAUUAGUCAUGUGAAUCAAUAGUUCUAUACAUGUGAAAAAAAAGUUACAGUAUAGUACCUUCAUCUAUACCUCCAUUUUUAAUUUAGUUAUGCAAGUAUUAUCAAUCUUGCACCACCUCCCCUAAUAGUACAUGCAUGUGAACUAAUAGUAAUUAAUUGCUCAUUUAUCCGAUUAAUUACCCGAUUGGUCAAUUUAACCUCCAGAAAUCAAUUAUUAUCGAAAUAAAAGUCAAUUUCCACCAACAAUAAUAAUCCUAACACAAUGGAAAUAUCAAUUUCAUCUUUAAUCAACACAAACUUAUUCAUCAUCAAAACGUUUUAUGACGUCAUGAUACCGUACUUUUUACAAUUCGUUGAGGACUUCGUCAGUUUGUGACUUCAUCAUUAUACAUCAUACCAUAGUGGGUUGUUGAUUCUAAGAUCACAUCCAGCACUAGGUUCAAUUGCAUUAAUAACUCCAUCUUUUUACCAUCCUUGCAUCGAAUGCGCGGAUGAUAUAAAAUUCAUUUUGAUAUUUCAAAUGAAUUUCUAUCUAGCCAAAAAAAUUAGCAUAGACAUACUAAGAAUAGUUCUUUUAAAAUCUGUUAGUUCCAAAAGUGGAACCAAUUAUUUCCUUUUUCAAACGCACACAUAAGCACGAUUUUAAUAAACUUAAAAAUCUAGCAUAGCUAGAUGACUUGGAAUAUCCUAUUCUCCAUCUCCCUUUAUUGUCUUACUUGCGAUAAUACUUAAUCUUCUCUAGCACCUUCAAGGCUAAUUCUACUGAAUUUACACGCUUUCAGUCUAAACAUUCCUAUACCUUAGUACAGUCCAUCAACUUACCACACAUUAUGAGUUCAGGAACUUUCCACAAUAAUAUGAGUUUAAGAACUAUCCAGUCAGACCAUAAGAGUCCAUUCGCUGAGAAGUUCAAAAAAAUACCAUAUAAUUAUGAGUCACGAACCUACCAUAAGUACGAGUUUGAAGAACUCGCACCUACCUUAUUGUUCUCUACCUAUCAAGUAUAUACAUGAGAAAAGAUUCACCUUCUCUUCAUAUACAUCUUGAUAGCGUGACCAACUCCAAUGAUUAUCACUAUAAUAAGCUAAGCAGUUGUUACACCAAGCACAAACCUCUACCCAUAACAAAGGUUCAUAUAACUCAGCUAUCACAUGAGUCCUCAAUUGAAAUUUUACAACUUCUAAAUUCCUCUUUACUUAAUACGAAUUUUCUUUAAUUUGUAUGCUAUCCUUCAUAACUCAAUCUAAGUUUUUCUUCCCGUACUACUUCGUAGUACCAUUCAUUCAUAGCAUUAGCUAUAAAUCAUUCAUCGUUUAAUAGCUCAUCUAUUACUAUGAUUCAUUAUGAUCACGUGGUGAUCUUCUUAUCCUUCUCUCUACGAUUAUAGUCUUAGGUACUCAUACCUAAGAUUUAUAACCUAUCAACUCUGAUACCAACUUGUAACGCCCCAAAAUCUGGUCUAUCUUCACACCCGAAUUCCGUGCACCACUAGUACGUCAUUCCUCCAACAUACAUUCUAAAUUCCCAGGUUCUAAAACCUUAUAACCCUUUUCAUUACAAAUAAUGAUAAAUACAUUAUUCAUUUCAUCUUACAAGAGUGACUUUUAUUCGCCACCAAGGAUAUAUAACAGUUUAUUAAACUAGCCUAUAGUUUAAUUCAGCUAUUCUAUAUUACAAGUCUUCGCUUAAUCUUCACGCUCAUUCACAUACUGAAUGGCACUGCAUCUGGUUACCGAUCAGCUUGAUCUUUACGGGAUCCUUAAGUUCUUCUAACAUCAUUUGCUGAAAAUGUUUUUCAUUUAAAGCAAGUAUGAGCAUUCAAUUGCUCAACAAGUCAUAGCAGUUGAACAAAGAACUUCAAGAGUUUAAACAUUCCUUUAGAACUUCAAUAACUGAACAAAGGUUGAAGCAGCUUGAAUAAUAGGAAUAAUUUCGAUUCCUAUCAUUUUAAAACAUUAUUCACAUUAACUUUCUACUAUCUUUCAUACACAUCCUGUCUGGCUAGAAUCUUUAGCAUAGACUUAACAAUAACGGCUCAUGUAUAAAUAGAACAGUUCAUCUCAUAGAAAUACCAAAGUGUUCACAUUGUGGCACAAGACCUCAUACGUUCUACCACCUUGUACAAAUAUCACACAUUCGCACAUAGACAGAACUUCUCAAGUUCAACAUCUGAGAAGUUUAAGAAACUAGCAUUCAUUUAAAAUAUGAAUGAAGUUAGGAAACUUACCUUACGCACAGCUACAGCUUAGAGUUUACUCUGAACUGCUCAUUCCAAUUCCUAUGUAGCACAUAAGAAAAACAACAUAUACACCAAUUAGUCAUGUAUAUUUGACUUACGCAUUAGUUUGCUUAACUUUACUUCUUAGGGUUCGCAUUCUUGCAACCUAAGUUUACGUAACCACUUUCAUUACCGUUCUACGACUUCAUGACAUACGAAGAUGUCUUACUUAUACGUUCAUCAUCUUUGAUGUUUUAUAUUCUUAUCUUCUUCUUAUAACUUCUCUAAGACUCAGCACACAUCAUUUCUCUGCUAGUAGUCCAUAUGGUACUCUGAGUGGUUUCUCACAAACAACCAACAAAUAAGUUCCCGUCUCGUCUACACUGCCAUCACAGUGAGUUAGAUCGGUUGCCAGUUUCAUAUAUACCUUCGUUCUCUAAAGGAAUUGUUUAGCCCAGCUCCCAUAUGUCAACCAUUAAAGGUUACGAUUGUACCACAACCUAACUUAUCUUAACUUAUCCAAAACAUUAAACUAUAAUGUUCGUUAAGUCAAUUUCUUAUUCCUUAUGGCUUUUUGGCAAAUAAAUGCAAUACCUCAGGAUUCAUUCUUUAUCGUCCAAGUCAUACAGUCUUUUGUAUACUCAGAGCGAUCAUUCAAGUUACUCAUUAACUCGACUUCGUUACGUUAACAUCAUUGUCUUUAAUUCAGUUCUUUACUAUUCAUGGUUUAAUCAUUGAUCUUCAUUAUCUUACGGUCAUACCAUACACGGGGUGUAGGUUCUAUCCGUUUAAUAUUUGCGUACACUCAACGUUCAUGUCGGUUAAAGUGUUCAAUGCUUACAUUUCAUUCUAACAUUCUUAUUAGACUCACAUUCGGCUUUUGUUAAUCUUCUUACCGUUCGAUAUGGCUUUCUUAAUACCAUUUGUUAUUCUUCCUUAAUGUCGAAGCCAUACGGUUUGCGGUAUGCUAAGACCGGUCAUUCAACGCAACUGCAUUGCGUUCACAGCGUCUAUACGCUUUACAGUUAUUUCUCAUUACCACAACAUAACAUCGAAAUAUUAUUCAUUACCCUCGUCAAUCAACGUCUAAGGAAUCACCAUCAUAGGAAUCCCUCAUGUUCGUUUAUCGUGACUAUGGUCCCCGGAUAUCGGUUUCGUAACCCGCAUUCACCUUCUUUUAAUCUCAUUUAAUCUUUUCGUUCAACCUUCAUUAAAGGUUUAAAACACUUGAUUAAGUGUUAUAUUAGAUGAACAUUAUGUUAUUUAUCUCUCCUUAUGUUUCCCCCAAGAGCUGAGCAGCUAAAAGCUCUUCUCUGGCUUUUUCCCUACACUGGCGCUGCGGCGCCACUCUCCCUUCUAUCUCUCAUGUCGCGGUGCAAGUUUGCAGUACUUGGCUUCCUGGUCUGGCACUACAGCACCUCCUUACAAGGCAUGGCUAGCGCCGUGGCGCCAAGCCCUUCUUCUCAAAAAAGUUUCUAAGUGUUUACACUUGUUUGAAAUGGUUACUUCCCGCUUCCAUAUCUUCUUCGUUAUAACUCGGAAUGAGGUCGUUCCAAAGCCAUUCUCUUCCUUAUCUUACGUACUUCAAUACCCCUUGAACAGACCCUUUGUUCGUUUUAUGUUUUUAAUGCUCUUCAUUCAUUCGUCCGUAAUUCGCUCAUCAUAACUCGGAAUUUGUUUGUUCUUGAGUCCACGACUCACAUUUUCUACGUUCUCUUACUUUCUUAUGAAACCCUACACAUUCAGGUUCAUUUACUAACUUUCUAAUUCUCGUUCGUCUUUUUACGAAAUUUUUGUCAUAACUUCGUUAUAGCUCAAUUUUAAUUCAUUCUUCAUGAACGUUUCUACCUUUCCUAACUAAUAAAUAAGCAUCUAACUUAUACGCGAUGGUUUUAAACUUGUCCAUCAACAACAAUUAUCCUAUUUUGGUUUUAAAUUUGUCCAUCAACAACAUACUUCGUGUUCUUCGCGUGUUCUUCGUGUUCUUCGUUCGUUCUUCAUUUUUAAUCGAUAUUUUGGAUUACGAUUUCAUUUUUUCUUGGAAUUUAAUGUUAUAUAACACCAUUCCUUAUUUAUUUCACCUACUCAUUCAUAUAAUCCACUCGGAUCGUUCUAAUUCAUUACGAAUCUUAUACUUCCUUAAGAAAUUUAUAAACUAAACUUCUAAUUCUUAUUUCUUCAUUUUCACAUGAUUUCAACCAUAUGAAACCAUUCUUAACAUCUUUUACUUCUUAUUCUCAUUAAACUAUGUUUUAACAUAGAAAACUUAAAGAAAAUUAAUUAGAAGCUAGGUUUUCGGAUUACCUCUCUUCUUUAAUCUUCCUCCGUUGGACAAAGCGUGCACUCGGGCAAGCUUUUCCUCUUCCUUUUCCUUCUCUUUCACCCAUCCAAACUCUCUCUCUCUCUCUCUCUCUCUCUCACUUAAAGUGUAGGAUUUUCAAAAUCCUAAAAUAAUGAAUUAAGCUUCCUAUUUAUAGAAAACCAAGGCUAGGGGCAAAAUAGUUAUUUCACCCUCAAAUCUCCUUACUAUUCAUGGCUUAAGCACUAAGUUAACUUACUCACCACUUUACUUAGCCCUUAAGUUUGCUUAGCCCUUAAGUUUACUUACUCCUUAAGUUUACUUACUCCUUAAGUUUACUUAGCCCUUAAGUUUACUUGCUACUUAUAAGAACUUUACUUAGCCAUUAAGCAUUUUCCUUCAUAUUUUUCCCUAACGUAGUUAAACGAGUGAAAAGUACAUAACAGUACUUUUCGUCAUAUUUAUUUUGUCCAAUUUCUGCACGUUUUUCGAGAAAACUUUUAUCAGCUUACUUAACUUUUCACGAUAUAUUAUCGUCAAAUCUUUCGACAGAAUGUCAUUUUGACAUACUGAACUCUUGGAAAGGCUUAGGUUAUUCAAACCCUAACCCUUAGGGUUUUGUCGGGUGAAUAGUGCCUAUUUUGUCUUUUUCCCCAGAAAUAUUUUAUUCCCAGAAAUUUUUAUUUUCGUCUUAAAAAUUCUUACUCGUUCAGUUUAGCUCGUAGCCAGAAUCCUCCCGAUUUAUAAUCAUCCUAGGUUCUAGAACGAUUAAUAAACACAUAACAUAAAAUAUUAUUAAUAAAAAUUCAUUUUAUUAAUAACUAAUUGUUUAAACUUAAAUUCUGAACAAUCCGAAUUUUCGAGUCGUUACACUCUUCCCCUCUUAUAAGAAUUCCGUCCUCGGAAUUUCUUAGAACCACACCGAUACCUGGGUCAUCACAUAUACCAAGUUCAAAGGCAGACAAGUUCUGCAAUAGCAGAAAUAAAAUCUAUGCUCUUAAUCACUUUACAUAUACCUCAUAAAUGGUAACUCAUCUAAAAUUAACCUCUUCUUUGAUUCCACAUCAUGGAUUACUAUUUUCUUUAAUAAUUUAAAUAUCAAACUUUGAGUUUUAAAAAUCUAUUUUUCCUUAAUAGUUUAACCAACUUGAAAUCUCCCUACAGGUUUCUUACCACAAAACUCAAAUAUAAAGCACCCGCUAUAAUCACAUAUUCACUAUUUACUUAAGUGAUUCUUAAACCCUUCAAAUUAUAUUAUUCCAUAAUAUAACUUCUACUUUAAUAUAAAUUAACCAAUAUUUCUACUUGUUAGUUAAUUCUCAUAAUUAACUAAUUUAUGCUUUACUAUCUCAAUCUAUCCAUGGAUAGCUUAAGCACUAACUAAAACUCAUAUUACAUAAUACUAGUUACUAGUAUAUAUAUUCAAGAAAAUGGUGAUUAUCCAUCAAAGAUAUUUAAUGUCACCAACUCACUAUNNNNNNNNNNNNNNNNNNNNNNNNNNNNNNNNNNNNNNNNNNNNNNNNNNNNNNNNNNNNNNNNNNNNNNNNNNNNNNNNNNNNNNNNNNNNNNNNNNNNNNNNNNNNNNNNNNNNNNNNNNNNNNNNNNNNNNNNNNNNNNNNNNNNNNNNNNNNNNNNNNNNNNNNNNNNNNNNNNNNNNNNNNNNNNNNNNNNNNNNNNNNNNNNNNNNNNNNNNNNNNNNNNNNNNNNNNNNNNNNNNNNNNNNNNNNNNNNNNNNNNNNNNNNNNNNNNNNNNNNNNNNNNNNNNNNNNNNNNNNNNNNNNNNNNNNNNNNNNNNNNNNNNNNNNNNNNNNNNNNNNNNNNNNNNNNNNNNNNNNNNNNNNNNNNNNNNNNNNNNNNNNNNNNNNNNNNNNNNNNNNUAUAUAUAUAUAUAUAUAUAUAUAUAUAUAUAUAUUCUUGUUCGAACCCAUCUCAUGCUUUAAGAAUUUUAUCUACUAAAUUCUUAUUUUAACAUUUUCUAAAAAUUCUGGUUCUUACACAAAUUUCUUUUGAUUCGUAUAUUGAAUGCAAGUACUCGAACCCUACUCUUUAUUGAGCAUUAUUGAACUUGUGCAAUUAUUGAUCGUACAAGUAGAACUUUGAAGAAACAAUACUUCGUAAUGAAAUUUCAAACUUUAAUUCGAACGAUAAUUGUUCAUAUAUAUAUUGUGAAAGAAUUUUCUAAGCCAUUGAUUCGGUUAGACUAUUGAUAUUUGAUCGAAAGCUAUCCAAACCAAAUUAAUUUGGUGCGGACUCUUAUAACUGAGAAGAACAACCCUCUUGGUAGGGGAAUUAUAUAUUAUCGGGGAACUGACGUCCGCAUAUGAGAAAGUCUAAAUGUUAUGCAUGACAUAGGGUACUGUAGGCUGAUCACCUGUUGUACUCGUUUUAUAGAAUUAUCAGUCUAUUACUGUUAAUUCUAGGAGAAGUUCAUAAUCCUUAGCGACUAGUCAAUAUUUAUUGUUUUGAAAUCUUGAAUUAAUUUAAUCAUUGAAUAUUAUUGUCCAUAGCGAUUAUUGUUGAUAAUCAUCGAUACUUCUUGCUAUCUUGAACUAUUAUUAUUAAUAUACCCUUGAGAAAUUUAAAACAUAUUAAUUUUCCUUUUUGCUAUAUUACUUGCUGGGCAAAAUUGUUGUUCAUCCUUGCUUUCCAUAAAACUUUCAGUGAAGGCAGAACGUGGUGAACCCUUCGGCAAGGGUAAAGAGAAAGCUUUGGAGUAGUUAUUUCUAUGUUGCUAGGAAUGUACUAUGAUUUGGUUGUAGAAGAACUUAUUAAGUUAUGUUUAAUUUAAGUUGUAUUGUAUUAUAUAUUAGUCAUGUCCAAACGGUGUUUAAUUAUGAUUAAGUUAUGUAAGGGAUGUUUAAGUUACGAACCCUUGGGACAAAGAAUAAUUAUUUUUUAACAAUGUAAUUUAUUCUAUUAUUCUGCUGUGUGAGAUGUUGAUUUAUUAUUAGAGUUAGUACGUGACAACCAAAUUUGGGAUAAGUGUGGUAUGGAUUUGGGGGCGUCACAGGUGUGUAUCAGAGCUGUAGUUAUAAACCUUAGGAGUGAGAGUCCUUAGAUUAUAACUUAGGAGAACUUAGAAGAUAGAGAAGGCUCAUGUAGAGUUUUCCUAGAGAGAGACUUAGUGGGUUAUGAAAUAUAAUUUCAUUAUAUACAAUGAACUUAUGUUUAUUUAACAUUCUGAUAGGGUUGUUGUUUGUUUGUCUUAUGUUGGUGAUUGUAGGAUGACUGACAUGGGAGAACCUAGCCGAGUAGUAGAGGAGGAGCCGCGUUGUAACGCCCCAGAAAAUCGAACAAUUGUAAAUACUUUUAAUAAUGAAUAAAAUAAUAUUAUUUAUUAUUAUUGAGUGUUGAUAAGAUUAAUGUCGUUCUAUAACCUAGAAAUAUCGGAAUGUCGUAGUAUUUUAACUACGUGAGAGAAUUAAAGUGUUUAAAUUUCUAAAAUGAAAAUAAAAGUUUUUCGAGAAAUUUUCCGAAAAACACUAUUCAUCGAUUUCUGCUCGGGAAUUAUUUUUGUACUUCCGAGAAAUACGUAACGUUAUAAUAUCAAGGUGAGAUUGAUUAUGUAAUAAUAAUCUAAGUAUGGAAAACGUAAUAUUUCGCAUGCGGACUUAAUUUGGGAACAUUAGGUUUAUUAAGCGUUAAGGAAAGAAAGUUGUAAUCGUAUGAUGCGUAUGCAUUGUGCGAGGUAAUGAAUGUAAGUAUAAUACAACGUAUUAUACUAUUAAGAAUGGAGAAUGAAAUAACGUAUAUUACGAAUUAAUAUACGAGCUAGCAUACGAGAAUUAUACGUGGUGUAUAUAUGUUAAGUUGUUAAUUAAAUGUAAUGGACUUGUAGGAUUAUUAGCUUAAUGAUAGAAGUCCAAUAGAAUGUGAUACUCAAGCCCAAGUGUUUGUUAAAUCAUAAGUCCAAACUUUUGUAAUGGAAGCCCAAUAAGGAAUUAGCUAGAUUAAUUAGCAAGCCCAAUGAUAAGCCAUGAUCCAUGGAGCAAACCAUGUUAAUGUGGGUAAACUUGAUGGGCAAGAACUUUGUGUGGUGAUCAAGUGUUGUGCUAGCCAAGUUUACUUAGUUGUAAAGUGAUGAAUAGUAAGGAGGUGGAGUUAAGGAGGUUAGUUAAGGAGAUGGGAUGUCUUAAUGUCCAUUCUACCCUAACUUAGCCAAGCUUAUAAAUACCAAGCUUCACAAUUCAUUUGUUGUUUGAUAAAUUUCUCCCAAUUCCUCUCAAGAUAAGUAACUUAUUUGGUAGAGAGAAUAAGCCACAUAAGCACUUAUAAGCCACUUCAACCUUUGCUAGAUUUUCCAAAGUGAAGUGAAGUAAUAGUCUUCAAGGGUAAGACUCAUACCUAUUAGCUUUAUCUCUUCUAUGACAGGAUUGAUAGAGAAGGGGGAUCAUUGUUAAGAACAUUUAAUAAGUUAUUGAUGAAUGAACUUAAGCCGAAUAAGUUGAAUAAGCAACUUGAACUUUAAUAAGUUGAUAGAAUCAUGAAGAACUUGUCAUAUGUUGUCAUAUGAUGUUAGUAUGUUGAAUAUAGUAUGAGAACAUUGAUUGAUGGACUUAUGUCCAUAGUAAGUCAUAAGCAUGAGAAUUUGUAGUUCAUAAGUUAAAUAAGUCAUUGACUUAUGAGAAUAAGUUAAAACCUACUUUGACUAUAAGUUGGUGUAAUAAGUAACUUGUAAUGUUCAUAUGUUGGUUAAAAUCCAUUUAGAAUGAUUAGUAAUGAAGCUUUGCCGGAAUUCACACGAUUAGACGAUUAUCGUAGAAUUCUUGAAAUUCUCGGAAUGGAAGUUAUAUUUUGUGUUUGAAGUCAGAAACAUUGGUUUUCGAUGUAGACAAGUCAUAUUUGGCAUUAUAGAGUUGCGGACUCGAAAAUGACCGAAUUCUGACUUAGAACAAAGAAACGAGCGUUUAACAUUCACGGACGUUUAUCGUUUUCGUUAAAAAUGAACUAAUAGGUGAAAUUUUAGGAAACGAAGUCAAAUAGAUAGAAUUCUUGCAUGAACGCAUAGAGUAUGUAAUUUGUGAACCGUGGGCUUUUGAACGAGCCAAUUCAGACUUAUAACGAAGAAGUUAUGCGUCCGGGAAGUUCACAAAAGUUAAAAUCUGCAAAAAUUAUCUGAGGCACAGAGUCCUCGCCGCGGCGCGACUCACAUCCUUAAAGCCCGUGCCGCAGCGCGAGGCUGGAACCGAGCAUACUACUAACUCGCUCCGCGGUGUGAGAUGAAGAGUUAAAUGUGGCGCCGCGGCGCCAGUCCCAGAGUUUUGACAGACAAGAAUGUUUACAAGUAUAGAAUGAAAGAUAACUCAUUAGUAAUGAACUAAGGUGUUAAUAUAACAUUGUUAAGGCAUUGUUAGACAUUUAAUGUAUGAUGAUUAAAGGUUAAUAAUCAAUUGAAUGUGAACAUAAUGUGAAUGAUGUAAUGAAAAGCCGGAAACCAUAAUAACAGUUCUAAGUAAGGAUUUAGAUUGAGAUGAAGGGUAAGAUAUAAUAAUAUACCUACUUGAUUAUAUGAUCAUGUAUUGUAGAGACUUAGAGACUUAAAGUGUACGUAUGAUAAUCAGUAAGCAGACGCGAAAGGCAAGCAUUCUAACCCUUGUUCUAGUUCAGUCUGGAAAAGCUUUGUAGUGCAUGUAUCCUUUCGCAUGAAGUUUUGUAUGAGGAAGUCAAAGCCAAUCCUUUCGGCUAGACUUAUAUUAUGAUUUUGUCAAGCAUGAUUAAUGUUUACCGAGUUAUAUUGGUAUGGUUUUUAAUCGAAGACCAAUUAUGCUAAAAUGUUUUUGUUGUUUAACAACAGGCACGUGAGGUUGCCACAACUUAAACGUAUAUAUGUUUAAUGAAUGUAGUGUUGAUCAACAUAGAGUACUAUGGGCUGAUCACCCAGAAGUGCUCGUAAGCUAUGCCGGACUUACAGACUUAGUGCCGGGUUGUCCUUUUCAAAAGAAAUUAUGAACUGCUCAUAGUCUUGAGCCUUAGUUGAUAUUUUACUGAAUAUUGUUAUUGGAAAACGUUUUGAAUGAAAAGAAGUGCUAUUUUGAAUUAACAUAGUACUUCAUAACUAUUGUUCAGUUACUGAAGAUAUAUGAGUUCUAUGUUUCAAGCAUGUUGUUUAUUAGAAUUGUAGUACUUGCUGAGCUAGUCAUGCUCACUCUUGUUUGAACCAUAUGAACACAGCCAAGAUCGAGCGGACCGAAGGCUUAGACAAGGACAAAGGCAAGGCGAAGACAAACCCUUAGAUUACUUAUGUAACAGAAUAGUUGAAUGUCUGUAAUAUAUUGAAUAUUAUGACAAGAACAAACGAAUGGGUUACAAAGAACCUAGGAAAUGUAAUAUUAUUUUGGAUAUAUAGAAGUUAUAUUAGUCCUUUUGAGACUAUUCAAUUGAAUGAAUGAAUGAAUGGUAGUACCAUGUAGCACCAUCUGUCGGGUUGGGAGAGACCCGAAUUUGGGGGCGUCACACGCGUGACACCCACGUGGUAUUUGAGGCACCAUUGAUAGUCAAGCCUAUAUCAGCAGUGGCCCCUAUCGAUGAUGAUGAGGAGGAGGAGGAGGAGGAGGAGAUGGAGCCAUUACCCGAGGAGUCUGAUCCGAAGCAGGAGCCUGAGCCUAUGGAGGACUCCGACAAGGCUACUUUUGAGGAUCGGAUGUUGGGGGAGUAUGAGGAGCAGGUCUUGGAGUUAGGAUGUAGAGUGGAGGAGUUAGAGGCCGAGGCUAGGGAGAGGGAGUCUGAGUUCCAGAAAUUGAGGGACGAGGACAUUUAAAGGAAAUUAGCGAUGCAGGAAAUGGAGGUGAAGAUUGCUCACCGUAAGGAGGCAGGGAUCCAGAUGGGGACUUUGUUUCACCGAUUGGUAGCUAGAAACGUAGAAUUAGCAAGAAAGUUGAAGGAAAUGGAGCAAAGGGUGUUGAGUGAGAGGACGAAGAAGGAGGCUCUCCGUACUCAGUUAGAAAUGGAGGUAAUGGAUAGGAUUCACUUCGAGGAGAAGUGGGAGGAAGCUAAUGAUAGGGCAAAUGAUCUAGAGGAUGAGGUGUGAUGCAAGAGAAGGAAGAUGAACAAGAUGGGCUAUGCUAUAUGUACGGCCAUGGUGAGAUUUAUUGAUGGGAUAAAUCACUACCCGACUGAGCAAAGACAGACCCGACAUACCAUAAGUCGAGAUAUGGUGGUGCACAUUACUCAGAAGGAAUACCAGAGCGCUGUGGAGCAUUGGAUGUUAGAUUGAGUCUAGAGGAAGAAGCUUAGUAGUUGUAGUGUUUUAUUUAUGUGUUGUUUAAAUUGUUAUUGUUAAAUCUCAGUCUUUGUGUAAGAUGUGAGAUAGUUGUAAACCCCCAAACUUUUGAAAAAUGUUAGAGGAGUAAUAUGUGAGUGUUGUCCCCGUCUUUUGUGUUAAGAGGGGAUAUGUUGCUGUCAUUUAUAGGAGUAUGCUAGGAAAGAACAUGUAAUUGUAACCAUUUGGCAUAUGAAUAUAAAUGAUCUUAUUUCAAAAGCGUGUUAUAAAAUUUUAUUUCUUUCUAUUUGAGAAAUGUCUAAGUAAUAUAAUUAGAUAAUAAAAUGAAAAUUUUAUGAUGCAGAAAAAUGGCGCCCAGACGUAGAAUAACUGCACCGGAGGAGUCAGUAAAUGAUGAGAGAGGACUAGUAGAUCUGAUACAGAGGCCUGUAGAUUUGUUAGGAGAAGCUCUUAGGGGAAGAAAUGAACCAAUACCACCCGUUCCCCAUGUGGUUCAAGUUAUAAAUUUUAAAGAUUUUAGGAGUGUAGGACGACAGAAAUUUGUAGGAAUGACCGACCCAAUCGUGGCUCAGACAUGGAUCAAAGGGAUGGAGAAGGCUUUCACCAUCGCUCGUGUGGGUGAAGACAAGAAGACCGCAUUUGCAACCUACAUGAUGAAAGGCAAAGCUAACUACUAGUGGGAGGCGAAUCAGCAGAGAGCGGGAGAAGGGAUAGUCACUUGGGAGAGGUUUAAGACUCUGUUCUUUGAGAAUUAUUUCCCAAAGAGCAUGAAGACUAAGAUGGACAUAAAAUUCUUAGAACUUAAGCAAAGAGAUAUGACAGUGGCGCAAUACGCGGCUAUGUUCAAUGAACUAGCCCGGUUUGAUGAACACCAGGUGGUUGAUGAAGAGAGGAAAGCUAGGCGUUUUGAGCAAAGACUGAAGCCUUAGUUAUUUAACAAGGUGUCGGUUCUUCAAAUAGAUUCUUUUACGACAUUACUGGAGAAGACUAUCAUUGCGGAGGGAGGAAGUGAAGCUUUAAGUUUGUAUAACAAAGAGAAGAGGGGAAAGAGCACCGGAGGAGAAAACCGAGGAGGAAGCAGCAGCGGAGGUAGCAAUUUAGGAAAGAGAAAGUGGGAGAACAACAACAACAACAAGAAUCUCAACAAUCAAGUGGGGAAGUUUCGUGGAGAGUUUAAGAAGAAGAUGGAAGGAUGCCUAAAGUGUGGGAGGUAUUACCAGGGCGAGUGUUGGAAAGGGCGCAGUGUAUGUUACAACUGUGGCCAAGAAGGGCAUAUUUUGCCCAACUGCCCAAAGCCGAAGAAGAUCAAAGGAUGUUUCGCUUGUGGAUCGGCGGACCAUCUGAUCAAAGACUACCUGAAGAAAGAAAGUAACGGAGGAAGCGACCAACAAGGAGGGAGUAGCAAGCUGAUGAUUGGCGGACCAACGCCAUCCAACCGUCCAACUGCCAGAACAUUUAAUAUGACCAUCCAGGAUGUCAUAGCUGCGAAGGAUGUUGUAUCAGAUAUUAUCCUGAUCAAUGAUAUAAAUGACUAUGUAUUAUUUGAUUUGGGUGCCACCUGUUCUUUUGUAUCUGAGGAAUUUGCUAGUCGACUUAAAAUACCCCGAGAACGAUUAGGAAAUCCCUUGAACAUAGAAGUUGGGAAUAAGGAAGUAAUCCUUGUAGAGUAUAUUUACCGAAAUUGUCGAGUAAAUAUUAGAAAUCAUGAACUAAGCGUAGACCUGAUCCUGAUAAGAUUGGGAGAAUUUGACGUAAUAUUGGGAAUGGAUUGGUUGUAUAACCAUGUCGCGGUAAAUAACUGCCAGAAUAAAAGUGUGAACCUUCAGACUCCUUAAGCAAUCGUGUUGCCUUACGAUAAUGUAGGCCAAGAGAUUGAUAAGAAAAGGAUGUGUAGGGUACUUAGCAUACAUUGUUGACACUCAUAAAAAGAGAGUAGAAAUUAAGGAUAUACCCGUAGUAAGAGAAUUUCAAGAUGUAUUUCCAGACAAUCUUCCUGGUCUUCCGCCAAAUAGAGAAAUCGAAUUUAUAAUAGAUUUAGCACUGGGAACGACACCGAUUUUGAAAACCCCAUACUGUAUGGCACUAGUAAAAAUGAAGAAAUUGAUGAUACAAUUGCAAGAGUUGUUGGAUAAGGGUUACAUAUGACCAAGUGUUUCUCCUUGGGGAGCACCAAUGUUAUUUGUAAAGAAGAAGGAUGGAUCGAUGAGGCUCUGUAUCAAUUAUCGAGAAUUAAACAGAGUGACGAUUAAGAAUAGAUAUCCGUUACCAAGGAUAAACGAUCUUUUCGACCAACUAAAGGGAGCCAAGUGUUUCUCGAAGAUAGAUUUGCGAACAGGUUAUCACCAGUUGAAGGUGCGGGAAGAAGAUAUAUCAAAGACGGCGUUCCAAACUCGUUACGAACAUUUUAAAUUUUUGGUAAUGUCAUUCGGGUUGACGAAUGCUCCGGCAACAUUUAUGGACUUAAUGAACCAAGUCUUCAAGCCAUUUUUAGAUAAAUUCAUAGUAGUUUUCAUCGAUAAUAUACUGAUCUACUCAAAAACGAAAGAAGAACACGCUGAACAUCUAAAGAUGGUUUUGGAUGGAGAAAGUUCAAUUCUAAGGACACGUGGUGAAUAAGGAUGGAAUUUCAGUAGACCCUACGAAAGUAGAAGCAGUGCAUAAUUGGGAGCAAUCGAAGACGUCGACCGAAGUGAGAAAUUUCUUAAGGUUAGUUGGGUACUAUCGAAGAUUUAUCCAAGAUUUUUCUAAGAUAGCCACCCCAUUGACCAAUUUAACGAGGAAGACAGUGAAAUUCGUGUGAACGGAAAAGUGAGAGGAGAGUUUCCAAGAGGUGAAAAAGAGAUUGAGCGAGGCGUCUGUAUUAUCCUUACCAGAUGAUACUGGAGGAUUUGUGGUGUAUAGUGAUGUGUCGCAUAGAGGACUGAGCUGUGUGCUAAUGCAAUAUGGCAAAGUCAUUGCAUAUGCAUCCCGAUAAUUGAAGGAUUACGAAACACGAUACCCUACUCAUGACUUAGAGUUAGCAGCAGUAGUUUUGGCAUUAAAGAUAUGAAGGCAUUAUUUGUACGGAGAAAAAUGUGAGAUAUAUACGAACCACUAGAGUCUGAAAUAUAUCUUCACACAGAAGGAGUUGAACAUGCGUCAGAGGAGAUGGUUAGAAUUGAUUAAGGAUUAUGACUGUGAUAUUCUUUAUCACCCAGGAAAAGCAAAUGUAGUGGCGGACGCGCUAAGUAGGAAAGGGAGAGAGAAGUUAUUGCAGUUGACAACUCUGAAGGAGUUAAUAAGGGAUAUGGAAAAAUUGGAGAUAGAAGUAAAAGGACCGGAAAGGUCUAAAAAUAGAUUAUUUGCAGUGGAAGCUCGUCCAAACUUGUUGGAUAGAAUAAAGGAAUCCCAGGAAAAUGAUGAAGAAUGCGAAAAAAUUAGGAAGAGGAUCGUGGAAAAUGAGGAAGAAAAAUUCAAUAUGGAUAGAGACGAUAUUUUGAGAUUCGUAGGGAGAGUGUGGGUACCAGCGGUAACGGAGUUGAGGGAAGAAAUUUUGCAUGAGAUACAUAACACGACGUAUUCCGUUCAUCCAAGAGGCACAGAGAUGUACCGGGAUUUGAGGAAACAUUUUUGGUGGCCAAAUCUGAAAUGAGAAAUCGCGGAGUGUGUUAGUAGAUGUCUUAUGUGUCAACGGGUUAAAGUAGAGCACCAGAGGCUGAGUGGUCUACUUCAACCAUUGGAGAUACCAGAGUGGAAAUGAGAGCAUAUAACGAUGGCUUUCGUGGUAGGACUUCCAGUCACGCAGAAAGGUUUCGACGCCAUUUGGGUUAUCAUGGAUCGACUAACAAAGACGACUCAUUUUCUACAACUCAAGAUCCGAUAUAGUUUGAAUCAGUUAGCAAAUCUGUAUGUAAAGGAAAUUGUUUCACGACAUGGAGUGUCGGUAUCGAUUGUUUCUGACAUGGAUCCCCGCUUCAGGUCAAAAUUCUAGAAGAGCUUGCAAGAAAGGAUGGGAACACAAUUGAGGUUAAGUACCGCUUAUCAUCCGCAGACUGACGGGCAGAGUGAGCAAACGAUACAAACGCUAGAGGACAUGCUUAGAACUUGCGUGAUGGACUUUAAAGAAAGUUGGGAUGAUCACCUACCCUUAGUGGAAUUCACUUAUAACAAUAGUUACCAUGCAAGUAUAGGCAUGCCACUGUACGAAGCUCUUUACGGGAGGAAGUUUAGAACACUGUUGUGUUGGGAUGAAGUUGGAGAGCGAAAGUUGCUAGGGCCGGAAUUAGUUCAACAAACCGUAGAUGUGGUGACAUUGAUAAGAACUCGAUUUGUAGCUGCACAAGAUCGCUAGAAGAAGUAUGCAGACUUGCAUCGUCAAGACCGCGACUUUGAAGUCGGAAGUCACGUUUUCUUAAAAGUAUCUCCCUGGAAGGGAAAAAUACGAUUCGACAAGAAAGGAAAAUUGAGUCCGCAAUUCAUAGGACCAUUCGAGAUACUAAAGGGAGUGGGUGAAGUGGCGUACAAAGUUGCAUUGCCACCUGAGUUGGAGCACAUCCAUAAUGUGCUUCAUAGCUCCGUGUUGCGUCCAUACAAGCCUGACUACAAAUACGUGAUUUCGUACGAGCCCAUUCAAGUGGAAAAGAAUCUGGCAUAUGAAGAAAUUCAUGUCCAGAUAUUAGAUAAGAAAGAACAGACAUUAAGGAAUAAAGUAUAUCCUCUAUAAAAGUACUUUGGCGAAACCACGAUGACGAGGAGGCCACGUGGGAAUUAGAAGAUAAAAUGCGAAGGGAUUAUUCCCAUUUAUUCGUGUAACCUUGUAUCAAUUCUGAGGACAGAAUUUUUAUUAGGGGGGAGGAUGUAAGAACCGUGAAUUUCAUGAAUAAAUAUUAUUUUGAUAAAAUAAGAGAAUGAAUAUUUAUUUAAAUAUAAAUAUUGAUGUGCUGUGAAACAAAUAAUUCAACUAAGUUAAAUUGAAUUUAUAAGAAUGUUGAUUGUGAUGAGAAUUGUGAAAAUGCCUUGUGUGGCAUGAGAAUGGAGAUUUAGGUAAUUGAUUUAAUUGAGAGAUGAUUAAAGGAUUAAUUAAUAUUAUAUUAUUAAUUAAUUGAUGAGCAAAGUAAUUUACAUAAUUAGAAUUGUAUUAAUCAUUUAAUUGAUGUGUGUAAGACAUGUGAUAUUACAUAUUUCUUACAUUAAAAAGAAUGUGUAGUGGGACACCUUGUGAUAACGAUAUUAUAUAUAGAAACUAUAUAGUAAAAUGAAAAGAAUUAUAAGUUACAUAAAUAAUUGCAUAUGUGACAAUAAGUAUGUGUGGGAACAUUAAAGAUGUACUAUAUCAAAGAAUUAUAAAUUAUUACAAAAAGUGAGUCUAAUUGGAAUAAUAAAGUUUCAAGAAGAUAUUAAAUUAUUAGGGACCAAUUAAAUUGAGUCCAUACAUGUUAUAAAUAUUAAUUAGACUAGACUAAUGUACAUGGAUUAAAUGAUGUGGAUACAUAAAUAAUCCCUAACUUUCCAUUAUGUAGUAGCAUUAAUACAUUAAAAUUACAUUUUGGAAAUCUAGGAGAACAAAUUGAACAUUUUAAACACGUUCUGGGAUUUAAAAGUUUGUGUCCCAUGUUAAGAGUCCCAAAUAGUAGCCUACCUUCUUCAUUGCGUAAAACUCCAGCUUCAUAGCAUUAGCAGUGAUGAUGGCUAGGAAUUGGCAGUUGGCCAACCCUUCUAUACCCAACAUUUCUUCCCAAUCUCCAUUGAAUCAAACCAAGGUGUAAGAGAAACGAUUGAACAACCAAUUCUCUAUAAAUGGAAGCUCACAUUCAUCAUUUCUUAGUUGCUAAAGAAAUUGUCUGAUAAGUGUAGGAAGAGAGUGAGUGUGACUGAGCAUUGAGAGAGUGUAAUUAGUGCUUUGAAGAAUCAAGUUAAGCUUCAAGGAGGUAUAAUUUUUAUUUUGUUCUUAGUUUAAGUUUUGUUAAAUUCUUGCAAUUCUCAUAAAAUUCUCUGUUAAUUGAUGUAGAAUAGCAUGUCAUUGUGUUGUCUGAGGUUGUUUACAUGCUUAGAAGCAUUGUAGUUGGUUUGGUUGCAGAUUUAGCAUGGUUUGUGUUGAGGCUCUGCAAAUGCAGAGCCAUUAUUUUUCAUUAUGCUCAAAGUGGCGCGGCCGCGCCACUUCUAUAGUACAUGACCGCGCGGCCGCGCCACCUGCCAGUCAUGUGUACUAAUUUUUGUAAUCUUGUUCCAUUCUGAGCAUGCUACUUGGUUAUUAUAUGCUUAUAAACAACCUUAACACAUGGAAUGAGGAUGUUAUGGAUAUAGUGAGCAUGAUUAAUUGUUUUAGUUUGAUUAUUCAAAGAGGACUUAAAAAGUUGGAAACUAAUUUUGAUAAUCCUUUUUUCAAAAACAUGUUUUGACCUUGGUUAUGAGUGUAUCGGGUUCUGAUAUACAUUAAAAUUUAAUAUGUUAAUUUACAUUGUUGGAGAUGGUAUAGUGUAUUCAAGCAUGAUUUAAAAUGAAAAUGCAAGUAAAAGAUCAUAAUGGCUAUGGGUAAAUGAACUAAGUGUACUCUAAGUUUUGAACUUUAAAACAUACUUAUGUGAACUAUGUUAUGGUUAUGGAAGCAUGAUAUGGGACGUGUGAACUUACCUUGCAUGCUUGAAGAAGUUUUACUAAUGGAAGUUUAAGGAUUCAAAAACAAACUUGAUAAACUAUAUACGUUUUGAGUUAAGAUUUGUGAGCAUGCUUAUGUGGUUUAACUUGUGUAUGUGAGACAUCAUGAUUAGGUGUGUCAUGCAUGUAAAAGUGAUUAAUAUGAAUGCCUAGUGAGUUAUAUGCAUUGUGAAACUAGUUAAGUGUGGUUGACAGUAAGCAUAAAUGAAGUAGAGCGUCAUAACUUGAGAUACUUGAUUUAGCAAAUGCAAGCAUGUGUAGUAGAGACCUAUGAACCACAUAGCAUGUGUUUAACGAUUAAACAGAAGAAAAUUAUGGAUUGAACACUUAAAGUCUUGAUUAAAUGAGAAUAGAUGGCGACCUAGGUUAAUGUUAUGAUAUAAGGUCAAACUUGGUUAUCCACAUACUAACAUAUGUGUUUAGCAUAAUUAUUCGUAUAUGUGCAAGUCGUGUGUACACUGGCUUUCUGCAGGAGCAGCCAUGUCUUAGUUUGCACCAGGAACAGCAUAGCCGCGCCACUCCUCGGUACAAACCAAGCGCGGUCGCGCCAGUCUACAGUAAGGUCUGAGUUCUGUUAAUAAAUUAAGAGCUGAUGCCUGCUUAUAUGGUUACUUUAAUCUGUAAUUCCUAUCCAGUAUGGUAUUCAUGUGUUAAUAAGCAUGUUAUUGAAAGGAUCCUAUGAUGAAUUAGUGUUUACAACUUUAAAGUCAAAUCGUGAUUUCAACUAUGACAUAGUGUGUUAGAAACUAAUUUGCAUGUGAUGACAUAUGUAUAAGAUUAUGCGGCUAAAGACUAGCAAUAUAUGUUAGCAUUGAUAAAGUACACUUUUGCAUGAUAGUAAGUUAAGAUAAUAGGUGUACAUGUUGAACUUGUAUAACUAAUAUGAUUAUACAUGAAUAGGAUAUCAUAGUGCAUUGGAUUGAUAUUAAGCUUUACUUUGGUAAACUACGCUUGAGUCAAGUUUCCUAAUUUACACAACUCUGGAUUUUAUGGAAGUACUCAAAUUUCAUUUGAUUCGUAUAUUGAAUGCAAGUACUUGAACCCUACUCUUUAUUGAGCAUUAUUGAACUUGUGCAAUUAUUGAUCGUACAUGUAGAACUUUGAAGAAACAAUACUUCGUAAUGAAAUUUCAAACUUUAAUUCGAACGAUAACUGUUCAUAUAUAUAUAUAUAUAUAUAUAUAUAUAUAUAUAUAUAUAUUGAAAGAACUGUCUAAGCCAUUAAUUCGGCUAGACUAUUGAUAUUUGAUCGAAAGCUGUCCAAACCAAAUUAACUUGGUGCGGACUCUUAUAACUGAGAAGAACAACCCUUUUGGUAGGGGAAUUUGAUGAGUGAGUUUUAUACCCAUAAUUGAGUGCGUUUGAGCUUAAUCUUUUGGAUGUUUUUAAGUGUUUGUGUCUAUCCAUGCAUAUUUUAUGUUGUUUUAUAGGAAUUGGGAUAAAAGUUACUUGGAUCGACGUUUGGGGUGGCUAGAUUCGCGUUUUUGGCUUGCCAUUUACAUAGCAGCCACUUCAAAGCCAAUUUCAGCAUUGGUCAAGCCCUUAUUUAGAAAAUCUCAAAGAAUGAAAGUUGUAUAUCUACGUCUCCUCUUUCUGGAACAUCUUGAAUUAUCAAAAUCGGAGUUCGGACGAAGAAGUUAUGGUAAUUUUCCCAAACGACGUCAGAGCAGAAAAUUUCAGAAAGUGUCUCAGCAUUGGGGCGCCCAAACCAAGGCCAUUUCCAGCGUCGAAGAGCUAGAUGGCAGUGUUGCAGCACCGUUCCCAGCGCCGGGGCACUGGGGAAGGGCUUGGUCAAGCUUGGAUGCGUUUUGGGGUGAAUUUUACACUUUUCUGACUCUAAAUUGAAUUGGGUUUGUUCCUAAGCUAAAAAUUGGACUUGUAACCUAUAAAUACAUGAUGGAAGACAUAGAAUAAGGGAGAUUACAUAGAUUAGCUUAGAUAAAAUAAUCCAUUAGAUUAGAACAUAAACCCUAGUUUAUAUUGGCUUGUUGGAGAUUGAAGCAACUUGAGGAUCAUUGAAGAUUCAAAGCAGGAGUGGAAGAGGAGUCUCAAGACUACUGACAACAGAUUCUAUUAUCUUCUCUUCUCUUACUUUUAUCUUUUAUUGUUUAUUCAGUUGUGGAUUCCUGAUUUUAAGUCAAUGACAAUGAACUGAAUUUCUUUUAUUAAAACUACAAAUUGAACCUUUUAUGUCUAUGAAUUAAUUAUUUAAUUUACUCCAAUUAUUUAUGUCAAGGUGAAUUGUUUAUCAUGUCUUGUGCGUAUUGAUUAAUUAUUUGGGCAGUAAUUACCUUGUUACUCUAAAAGGAUUCGGGAGAGGAGAUCUAGGGUUAGAACUGGAUAUGAUAACAUGUAUGCUUAAUUAUUUGCAUGAAGAAUAAUUAGGGUCGUGAGUUGAAUAGGAAUAUCUUUUCACUGCAUGUAACAAAUUGGGAUUUGGAACUUAAUGGGUUUAAUUUAAUUAUUUUGCAUAGGAAUAUCGCAAGAUUAAUUAAAUUGAAUAAAAGUUAACUGAUCACUUGGGAAAGGGCUUUUAACACUUAGAAUUCCUGUUAACAAUUCAGUAGGCAUAAUAAAUUGGAUUAAUUGAAUAAUUGGGUUAUAGUUCAUAAUUGGGGAUAUUGUAGUCUUAAUCUUUAUUUAUUUGAAUUUAUUUAUAAAGUAAUUCAGUUUAAUUAGUUAAUUUAGUUUGCUUAAUUUUAAAAAUCAUAAAUUGUAGCUGUUUAAAUAAAAUUAGUUUGGUUAAGAACUAGUACUUGGUGAAUUUUAUUAAAUAAUUCCUCGUGGGAACGAUACUUUUCUUAUCAUUUUAUUACUUGUUGACCGUGUAUAAUUGCACGUAUGUUUUGAUUGUGAAAUCGAUCAACAAGUUUUUGGCGUUGUUGCCGGGGAAUUAGUUUAAUAAUUUUGCCAAUAUUAAUUUUUAUCAAAUUAGUUUUAAUUUAAACGUUUUUUUAUUAUUAUUUUUAAUUCUCUUUCUAUUUUUCUUUCUUUCUUUUCAGGUACCAUGGCGGAAUUUAAUUAUCAAUGGUCGUAUACGAGAAUGACUCAGCCAAGGGGAGCAGAGAUUGAUGGACUCGCGAUAAUACUUUCUGCAUUAUCAGCACAAAUUGAGACACUUUCUAAGAGGUUAGAAACUUUUGCAGCACAACGUCGUCAAAGUGUGGCAGUUACUUGUAAAUAUUGUGCUGGAAAUCAUCUGAGUCAUCAAUGCACCACCAGUUUUGAGUCGGUACCGUAUGGUGGUGAUUACCCCAACAAUUAUGUCUAUCCCAACAACUAUUAUCAGGAUUGGGGGUAUCACUCGAAUUUUUCAUGGAGCCAUACUCAUCAAGAGCAAUUUUAUGCUCCAAGUUCAAUAUACCCACCGGAUUUCUCGUGUCCACCUCCACUACAACAGGAGGAACAUUCAAAUUUGGAGGAAUUUUUGUCCAAGUUCAUAGCUUCAAGUGAGGAGAGGAGGAUUAAUCAAGAGAUAUCGAGUCAAAAUUAUGCGAACCAAAUGGAACAACUAAUCAAUGCCUUGAACAUUUGUCCUCAAUACACUUGGCCCUGUGACAUAGAUUCCGAGACUGAUGGAGAGCCCGAAUAAAAUCUGCAACUAGAUGAGCCACAAGAUGUUGAAAGAGAGGAAACAAUUGGGAACCAAGAAAAGGAGAUCGACGAAGAGAUAAGUGUAAGAUUCAACGAAGAUGAGCCAAUUUCAUUAGUAUCCCACGUGCCUCCUCCACCAAAGUUCAAGAAUCCGGGCAGUUUUGUAAAACCAUGCCCAAUUGGCAGUCAUGUCGUCGGCAAAGCUCUUUGUGACAUAAGAGCUAGUACAGUUGUGGAGUCAUGGUGGGAUAAAAAGGAGAAGAUAGAGGAAGAUCUCAUUGUGUUUAUUAAGCUUCAAUGCCCUAAUCUGAUCAUUGACAUAAUGGAGAAAACACCUAGUUUUUGGACGUUCUUAAUGGGGAACAUAUCUACAAAGAGCAUGCUAGGUGACUUUCAUUCAAGGGUCAUUACUAUUUGGAACCUCCCAAAAGAGACAUUGUUACUGAUGGAUGGAGGGUUCCUCAAUUUUCGUAGGGGAGUUGGAUAGAGAAUUGAAGAAGUCAGGUUGAGACUCUAAAACAAGCACUUAUUGGGAGGCAACCCAAGUUUAAUUUUUAUUUUUUGUUUUUAUUAGGUUUUAUAUUAGUAGUUUUGAAUUUGUAUUUAUUUAGAAUUUAAUAAAAUUAUUUCUAUCAUGAUUUACAGGUUAUUCAAGUCAAAUUCAAGUGUGGUGCCCAGUUUGUUCCAUAGCCUAUUCUCCAAACUUAGCGGACAAGGAGGAAGAUUGCUAUAUUUUCAGGGAAGUCCUCUGCUUUAAUUUUUUUCUAUUUUAGCCAUUGAGGACAAUGUCUAGUUUAAGUUUGGGGGCAUUUUAGUAUCAUAUUGCAUAUAGUUAGUUAUUUGUAUUAUAGUUCGUUAUUUUUACGUGUUAGCAUUGUGUUUUUGCAUUUAGUGUGCAUAUAAUACAUGGUAGUUAAUUGCAUAUACAUAUAUGUGGUGCAUUAGUAUGUGUUUAUGAAGUAUAAUUUUUUUUAGGCAAUAGAUUGGUUUGAAUUUAGCUUGGCCUAUGAUAAGAUUGAUAUUAAUUGUUAACUUGAACAGUGUUGAUAAUUGAUGAUGAGUUCUAAUUUUAAUCAUGAUGAUAAUUUGAGCCUGUCUUAAACUUAUGUAACCGGUUAGCACUUAAAGUUUAACUGUUUUAAUCCACUUGGUUCAAGGGUUUCAUAAUUUGUUUCUGAGGGAAAAUCUUGGUUAAAAUUUAAGGAAAUUAGUGAACUGACGGUAAAAGUUGGAAUGACGUAAAAGCUUGAGUUUGGGAGAAUCUAUGGGGUAUAUAUAUACAAAAUAAAAAAAAGAAAAAAAAAUGAUAAAAUGAAAAAAAUAGAAAAUUCAAAAAAAAAAGAGAAUAAACACUGUGGCAUGCUUGUCUAGUUUUGUGGCCUUUGUUACUUGAGUAAGUAAACCUGAGGGGAUUGUCUUUACACCUAGCGCCCUAAGGUCUUAAUGGCUUGGGAGUCGUUGGUCGAAAGCUCGUUAAGGUAGCAUUGAAAAGCCUAAGGGAAUAGGACAUUGCACAGCCAUGAGAAUAAAAAAAAUGAAUAAAACACGAGAAAGAGUAAAAAUGCCCUCAUGAUUGUAUAAAAGUAGAAAUAAAUCCUGUAUUUACCCUUAGACUUGGUAAUUACUUAGUUUUAACCGGAGUUGUCAUGUUCACAAAAGUAAUUGAAUUAGAACUAAAAAUUUUCUUCUAAGAAGUUUGUUAUGUGAUUAUCUUGAACUGUGGUUGGUUAGAAUGGUUAACAAGCACACACACACAACAUGGGUCAUGACAGGUUUGAAUUGACUAACUGGUUAGAGUUAUGGACUUUGAUUUGAUUGGAUAAAUUGUUUGAGUAUCAUUGGUAUCUUUGAGGCCUGUUGCUAUAUAUCAUAUUGAUUUAUUAUUGGGUUCGUAGGUAUAUUAGGAAGUAGAUCAUGCAUAUGCAUUCAUGUAGUUAAUUUAGUUUGUUUAUUUUUAUUUCUUUUGUGUUUUUGCUUGAGGACAAACAAAUGUUUAAGUUUGGGGGUAUUUGAUGAGUGAGUUUUAUACCCAUAAUUGAGUGCGUUUGAGCUUAAUCUUUUGGAUGUUUUUAAGUGUUUGUGUCUAUUCAUGCAUGUUUUAUGUUGUUUUGUAGGAAUUGGGACAAAAGUUACUUGGAUCGACGUUUGGGGUGUCUAGAUUCGCGUUUUCGGCUUGCCAUUUACAUAGCAGUCACUUCAAAGACAAUUUCAGCAUUGGUCCAGCCCUUAUUUCGAAAAUCUCAAAGAAUGAAAGUUGUAUAUCUACGUCUCCUCUUUCCGGAACAUCUUGAAUUAUCAAAAUCGGAGUUCGGACAAAGAAGUUAUGGUAAUUUUCCCAAAGGACGUCAGAGCAGAAAAUUUCAGAAAGUGUCUCAGCAUUGGGGAGCCCAAACCAAGGCCAUUUCCAGCGUCGGGGAGCUAGAAGGCAGUGUUGCAGCACCGUGCCCAGCAACGGGGCACUGGGGAAGGGCUUGGUCAAGCUUGGACACGUUUUGGGGUGAAUUUUGACACUUUUCUGACUCCAAAUUGGAUUGGAUUUGUUCCUAAGCUAAAAAUUGGACUUGUAAGCUAUAAAUACAUGAUGGGAGGCAUAAAAUAAGGGAGAUUACAUAGAUUAGCUUAGAUAAAAUACUCCAUUAGAUUAGAAUAUAAACUCUAAUUUAUAUUGGAUUGUUGGAGAUUGAAGCAACUUGAGGAUCAUUGAAGAUUCAAAACAGGAGCGGAAGAGGAGUCUCAAGACUACUGACAACAGAUUCUAUUAUCUUCUUUUCUCUUACUUUUAUCUUUUAAUGUUUAUUCAGUUGUGGAUUCUUGAUUUUAAUUCAAUGACAAAGAACUAAAUUUCUUUUAUUAAGACUACAAAUUGAACCUUUUAUGUCUAUGAAUUAAUUAUUCAAUUUAUUCCAAUUAUUUAUUGUCAAGGUGAAUUGUUUAUCAUGUCUUGUGCGUAUUGAUUAAUUAUUUGGCCAGUAAUUACCUUGUUACUCUAGAAGGAUUCGGGAGAAGAGAUCUAGGGUUAGAACUGGAUAUGAUAACAUACACCUUAUUUUUGGUGUUGACUGUGUUUAGUGUGCAGGAUCAGGGCGUCUUACGUGAUUGGGACGUUGGAGAAGAUCUUGGCGUUAAUAAAAAGUAUAACUAAAAAUAAUAUUUAUAUCAUUAAAUAUAUAUUAAAAAAAUAAGAAGAUAAAUAUAAUAGAGUCCUAAUUCGAUUAAUAAGGAAUUCAAGUGACAAUAUAUAUAUAUAUAUAUAUAUAUAUAUAUAUAUAUAUAUAUAUAAAAUUCAUUAAUCUUAAUCUUCUAUCAUAUUUAAUACAAUUUAAUUUAUGUAUUUUAGAUUAAAUGAUAAAAAAAAGUAAUCUUAAGGAAUUUAAUUCAUAUUUUGUAGGAAAGUGAUUAUAUGUUGAUUAAUUUUUAAUGUGAAAUUAUAAGUGAUAAAAAGAACAGUAAUAUGUAGGUUCUUUCUUUACACCAUUUUAUUUCAUAUAUCCACAUAUUUUAGUAUUUAACAUCAUCAUAUAUUUCAUAUAUUUUCAUACAAGUCUAUAUUAAUAUUAUGACGUGGUUAAAAUGAGGCUGUGACUUGGAUCUUUAAGUUCAAUUUUCACGUGUAGAUUUAUUUUCUUCUAACGUGAAGUAUCAUAUUUUUUUUAAUAAAAAUAAUAGAAAAACUUAUGUUCAAUCUUGCCAGUCUACUGGAAAGAAAAUUUAACUCGAGAAUCUAAACAUACCUUAUAAUUUAUAUGUGAUAUAAUUAAAAAUAAUUGAUAUUAUCGUAACAAAAAUUCUGUUAUCAGAAUAAUAAAUAUCACUUAAAAUAUUUAAGUAUAAUUAAAACAAUAUAAAAUAAUGCUUCCUUACAUGACAACAUCAUUUUUGUGUUGACCAUAUCAAUUGCCAUAUCUAAAUAAUAAUAAUAUUAAUUUCUAAUAUAAUUAUUAAAAAUAUCUUUCAACAUAGAAAUUAUUGAUAUUAUUAUACUGAAUAUAUACUUGAUACAAUAUACUCUAAAAAAUGGUGUUUUAAAAUAUUCCCCCCGUCCUUUAAAAACUGGAUUAAUUUUACUUUUUUGAUCAAAUUAAUUAAUUUUAAAAUUAAGAAUUAAGUAUAUAAAUUUAUAAUUUUAAACCUAUACAAAUUGGAGUUGUUAGUAAAUUUAAUAUAAUUUUUUAUGUUUAUUAUUUCUCUACCUAUUAUUAUAAAAAAAUAUAAAUUUUAAUUACAAAAAUAAUCAAUUUAAUUGAAAAAAUCAAUCUAAGCUUAUUUUUGCAGUACGGACGGAGUAAAAUAUAUCAAUAUGGCUGUGACAGCGUUACUAUGCAUUGUAAACUCUAUUCUAGUUUAACAUUGAUUACCUUUUGACAUGAAAUUGGAAAGGCUUUAAUCAAUCAUCACCCUUAUCUUAAUUUAUAGCCAGUGACAACUUUUAAUCUACAUAAAGUAUCGAUAAGAAAACUACAUUUAUUUGUCCUUAUAUAUAGUGGCAUUUUCGAUAAGAAUUAAGUCUAAAAAAAUAUUCCAUAUUUCCUCUCAAGCGGCAAAUGGUGGGUUAAUUUACCCCAAGAAUCAAACUAUCUUAAGAAAUAUAAAAUUUAAUAACCUUCUUAUUUUUAAAGAUUUAGUAUACGCAUAUACUCCCUGCUUUCGAGAACAUAGUUUAAGUUUAAUUUAACCUGUGAGUCAAUUUAAGACAUUUUCUUAUUUAAAUUGAUGUGAUUAAUUUAAUUAUUAAAAAUAAUAUAUUAUAUAAUUAAUUAUUAAUAAUUUCAUAUAAUUUAUAAUUUUCAUAAUUUUAUAUUUAAAUUUAAUGAGCUCCUAUCCAUUUUGAAUUUAUUUUAAAACGAUUUUUAAAAGACAAAAUUAAUCCUAAAUUUUAACGCGGAUGAAGUAUUUUUAUUUUAUAAUAUUUGAUAAACCCCUUUAAAAGGAAUGAUAUGAAUUAUAUAUUUGAUAAAUAUCUCAAAUUAAUUUUAAAACGAGGCUUAUAAUAUUAAUUAGCGAUGCUACUUCAAACGGAACGAUAUAAUUUUUUUUCUUACAUUUAAAUAUUUAAUUUUCAAAACAGUCAUUUUGGCCGUCUAUAUAAUUAAAUUGCAAUGAUACAACAAAUAGUUGAAUUCCAGAUAAUCUUUGUUGCAGAAAUUUAAUUUAAUUUUUGCAAGACUAUCCAAAUAAACUGCGAUAUUUUAACUACCUGGAAUCCAAAUUCCAGAAGGACGCAAACAAUGUUUGCUGAGAAAUAUUAGAAUCUUUCAACAAAAAAGUUUUUGGAUUCCAAAUUUUAUUUACUCCCCAUCACUUUCUUGGCAGCCAAACAAGAAAAACAAAAAGAAAACGAAAAUAAAUGACCGAAGGAAAGAGAGUAGAGCGUAGAAUGAAAGCCAAUAAUCAGACUUGCCUAGAAUUUCACUUUGUCACUUCAUCUCUUUCGGCGUCGCGGAAAGCUGAGCGGCUUAUAGCAGAAAGAAGCUACGUACAUGUUAGAUGCUUAGGGGGACUCAUCUACUCUCCACUUGUCCCUUUAGGUAUCUCUUGUUGCUUGGAGAGAGAAAAUAUUGAGGAUACAAAUGGAGAGUUCAAUUAGAAGAUGGAGGAAGAAGAGGAAGACGAAAAUGUGAGACUUUGUGA